AGUUGGUCCAAGUGCAACGAGCAGUGUUUACAACUAAUUGAUCACAAUCAGUUACAGAUUUCUUUGUUCCUUCUCCAUUCCCACUGCUUCACUUGACCAGCCUUAA
rnacentral:Y_RNA from 1 species